rnacentral:rRNA from 1 species
GAUGAACGCUGGCGGCGUGCCUAAUACAUGCAAGUCGAGCGAACAGACGAGGAGCUUGCUCCUCUGACGUUAGCGGCGGGCGGGUGAGUAACACGUGGAUAACCUACCUAUAAGACUGGGAUAACUUCGGGAAACCGGAGCUAAUACCGGAUAAUAUAUUGAACCGCAUGGUUCAAUAGUGAAAGACGGUUUUGCUGUCACUUAUAGAUGGAUCCGCGCCGCAUCAGCUAGUUGGUAAGGUAACGGCUUACCAAGGCAACGAUGCGUAGCCGACCUGAGAGGGUGAUCGGCCACACUGGAACUGAGACACGGUCCAGACUCCUACGGGAGGCAGCAGUAGGGAAUCUUCCGCAAUGGGCGAAAGCCUGACGGAGCAACGCCGCGUGAGUGAUGAAGGUCUUCGGAUCGUAAAACUCUGUUAUUAGGGAAGAACAAAUGUGUAAGUAACUAUGCACGUCUUGACGGUACCUAAUCAGAAAGCCACGGCUAACUACGUG